UACAGAGGUCUCAAGCGUUGUUCGGAAUCACUGGGCUUAAAGGGCGCGUAGGCGGGUUUGCAAGUCCGGGGUGAAAUCCCACAGCUCAACUGUGGAACUGCCUCGGAUACUGUGAGUCUCGAGGGUGGCAGGGGUAUGCGGAACUAUCGGUGGAGCGGUGAAAUGCGUUGAUAUCGAUAGGAACUCCGGUGGCGAAGGCGGCAUACUGGUCCACUUCUGACGCUGAGGCGCGAAAGCCAGGGGAGCAAACGGG
rnacentral:rRNA from 1 species